rnacentral:rRNA from 1 species
AGAACGAACGCUGGCGGCAUGCCUAAUACAUGCAAGUCGAACGAACACUUCGGUGUUAGUGGCGCACGGGUGCGUAACGCGUGGGAAUCUGCCCUUGGGUUCGGAAUAACAGUUGGAAACGACUGCUAAUACCGGAUGAUAUCGAAAGAUCAAAGAUUUAUCGCCCAGGGAUGGAGCCCGCGUAGGAUUAGCUAGUUGGUGAGGUAAAGGCUCACCAAGGCGACGAUCCUUAGCUGGUCUGAGAGGAUGAUCAGCCACACUGGGACUGAGACACGGCCCAGACUCCUACGGGAGCAGCAGUAGGGAAUAUUGGACAAUGGGCGCAAG